AAAGUGCCCUAGAAGCUAUUCAUUACGAAUUCACUGGAAGCUCUCAAACGAGGCUGGCAGAAGCUGAAAUUGAAGUGGUCUCUGACCUAAUUUUCUUCUGCAUGAAACAUCUGCAUCAAGGCUCUCUUUGAUGUAUUCCACUUGGCUCUGUCUACAGGAUUGUAUCACAUGGCCUCCGUGUUGCCUUCUUAUUGAAAGACAUUUUCAGCCUGAGCAAGGUUUAUAACCAGGCACAACUGUACUUGCAUUUCAAGAACUAGAGAAGACAAAAGGCAAAGAAAGAGUUUCUGGCAUGCAGUUCCUCUACUAGUGAACAGCAAAUACUGCCAUAUCUUUAACAAGAAACCUUAGAGAACCCACCUUACAACUGUACACUGAAUAGUGGCUGGAGGACACAGAAGGGGAGGGUUGAAAUUUUCACUAGGUCCUCCACACCUACAGGAGUAACCAAGCUGAUGACUUGAUGAAUGAAUUUCUUUUUGGAAUUCUGCACUUGCAAUAUGUGUUUAAGUGAGGGCCUCAGUUGUGCACACAUGCACACACACAAACACACACAGUGGGUUUUGGAAACUGGAAUUUCUUUUAUGUGAUUAUGAAUGUUAACAGGACAUACAGUGCCACCUGAUAGGAGAGACUUGGUUGAAGCUGCCUCCUGUAAGAGGGACAACUUAGACACUGUGGCCACUGAAAACUGGUCCGAGGCAAUUCCAGACUGAGAUGUAGUCAUCAGAAGCCCCACAUGUUCCUUCAAGGGGAGCUUCAGGGUCAACAGGAGGGUGUGUGGCCACCAUAGCACUGCCAGAGCAGAAUGAACCCCAAUGUAGUAUUUAUUGCAACCAGUGGGACAACCCUAAUCUCUAAUCUCAAAACCUAAUCUCUAAAACUUUUGUUUCUGUGGGUAGAUUCGGCAAGAGCCAGAAGAAUGUCCUUGCAAUGGUCUAGUUACUCCAUGCAGGGCUUCUUCACAGAGUGCUUGCUCUUGUUACUGUAGACCAUUGACAUGACCUCCUUUCUCAGGUUCUCUUAUAGUUACUCACAGUUCACCUGGAGUAUCUGCACUUUAUCAGCCCUAAUCUUAAGAAGAAUGAUCUCUCUCUCUCUCUCUCUCUCUCUCUCUCUCUCUCUCUCUCUCUCUCUCUCUGUGUGUGUGUGUGUGUGUGUGUGUGUGUGUGUGUGUGUGUGUGUGUGUGGUAUUCUCUGGUGUUGCCCAUACUGACUCAUUAAUUGCCCAUUACUGUAGAAAGGAUUUUUUCUUUGUUUGCAACAUUGAUGACUCUGAGACUCUGGGGAUAUUGUAUAUGAAUAUGAUGAGAACAAUGAAGGUGAACUACAUCUUUGUUUGUUUGUUUGGACAGGGUUUCUUAGCAUAAUAGUCUUGGCUGUCAAAGAUGAACCACUUUUUAAAAAGGAAUUAAAAAAUAAACAGGAGAUAUAAUUAAUUUUA